UUGCUUUGCACAAUGCGAUGCUUCUCGAGUCCCGUGUGAUAAAAGCUUUCUUCAUCUACUUCUUGUCGAUCUUUGUCAUCUACAUGUUUACAAGCACAAAACAGACUUAUACCAUAAGGCCAAGGCUUUACAUAGGUAAGUGUAAUAUUCCACAUCUCUUUCUCAUACCAUAACUAUGAAAAGUAGAAUUCUGCAGUUUAACAGAGAUUUUCCAUUUCGCUGAUGCAGGUUUGUGCGUUACCUUAGCAUUAGAAGUGGCAAGUUUGCGUUUCGUGAAUGAUGCAGAACACCGAGCAUGGAUUAUAAACCUCGUCAGGUCUUUAUUUGCUGUUCUUGCUUCAGCUCAGCUUCUUCAUGCUGCUUUUACAUACAGGUAU
rnacentral:lncRNA from 1 species